UGGGGAAUCUUGCGCAAUGGGCGAAAGCCUGUCGCAGUCAUGCCGCGUGAAUGAUGAAGGUCUUAGGACUGUAAAAUUCUUUCACCGGGGACGAUAAUGACGGUACCCGGUGAAGAAGCCCCGUCUAACUUCGUGCCAGCAGCCGCGGUAAUACGAAGGGGGCUAGCGUUGUUCGGAAUUACUGGGCGUAAAGGGAGCGUAGGCGGGCAUUUAAGUCAGGGGUGAAAUCCCGGGGCUCAACCUCGGAAUUGCCUUUGAUACUGGAUGUCUUGAGUGAGAGGGAGGUAUGUGGAACUCGUAGUGUAGAGGUGAAAUUCGUAGAUAUUCGAAAGAACACCAAUGGCGAAGGCGACAUACUGGCUCUUUACUGACGCUGAGGCUCGAAAGCGUGGGGAGCAAACA
rnacentral:rRNA from 1 species